rnacentral:misc_RNA from 1 species
GACGACGCGAUGGCAAAAACGACUGUUGCGAAAAGCUGAAAGGGGGACGCACAAAAGCCACUCGCCGAACGAGGGCUCUGCCCACCGCUGAGCGACUCCAGCAAGGCAACGGAAGGAAACCACGCUGGUGCUCCUCUGCGUGGCCAUGUCCUGCAUCUAUGGGGGAGAAGGGAAGAAGAGGAGGAGGGAAGGUGAGCGGGCAGUGAUGUUCGGGUACCGGUGCGUGAUGGGUGACCUCCGCACUCGCUUUUUAUUUUGGCGCUGUAAGCAAAGACGGAGGUCAUCCGUUUCUUGUGUUGCAGCGAAGCUCUGACGUCUCCCACAUCUGCGCGUGUAAUAUCUAUAAAGACGGUGGUAACGGUUUCACUGGCACAAAGGCAAAUACGAGCAACACGAACCACGUCAAAGGUGUUCGCUUCUGCGCGGCAGGCAUGUGGCUGAUGCAAGAUGGCCCGCCGUCGACGACGGCCGGCGCAUCUUCCACAACGCAGUAUCUCGGCUCUCAAGCUUUUUCUCUGUGAGUUGGGGGUGGGAUAAAAAGACGCAUGCGCAGCUCGUGCCACGCUCAGAUGGAGUCAUGCCGUCUCCCUGCCCCUCCGACUCCCCCACCUGGACAAAAAGAAGACAAGGUAACCCAGCAACGCUGUCCUCGCACGCUCUCUUUCUUUGUGCUUCAUCUAUUCGCUUUCCGUCUUUCCGCUGCUUCCAUUUUGAAAUACAG